AGCGAACGCUGGCGGCAGGCUUAACACAUGCAAGUCGAGCGGGCACUUCGGUGUCAGCGGCAGACGGGUGAGUAACACGUGGGAACGUACCCUUUGGUUCGGAAUAACGCUGGGAAACUAGCGCUAAUACCGGAUACGCCCUUUUGGGGAAAGGCUUGCUGCCGCAGGAUCGGCCCGCGUCUGAUUAGCUGGUUGGUGGGGUAAUGGCCUACCAAGGCGACGAUCAGUAGCUGGUCUGAGAGGGUGAUCAGCCACACUGGGACUGAGACACGGCCCAGACUCCUACGGGAGGCAGCAGUGGGGAAUAUUGGACAAUGGGCGCAAGCCUGAUCCAGCCAUGCCGCGUGAGUGAUGAAGGCCUUAGGGUUGUAAAGCUCUUUUGGCCGGGACGAUAAUGACGGUACCGGAAGAAUAAGCCCCGGCUAACUUCGUG
rnacentral:rRNA from 1 species